rnacentral:misc_RNA from 1 species
GAUGAAGAACGUAGCGAAAUGCGAUAAGUAAUGUGAAUUGCAGAAUUCAGUGAAUCAUCGAAUCUUUGAACGCACAUUGCGCCCGCUAGUAUUCUGGCGGGCAUGCCUGUCCGAGCGUCAUUUCACCCCUCAAGCCCCCGGGCUUGGUGUUGGGGAUCGGCGAGCCUCCGCGCCCGCCGUCCCCUAAAUCUAGUGGCGGUCUCGCUGUAGCUUCCUCUGCGUAGUAGCACACCUCGCACUGGGAAACAGCGCGGCCACGCCGUUAAACCCCCAACUUCUGAACGUUUGACCUCGGAUCAGGUAGGAAUACCCGCUGAACUUAAGCAUAUCAAUAAGCGGAGGA